rnacentral:rRNA from 1 species
CGGCGGACGGGUGAGUAACGCGUGGGUAACCUGCCUCAUACAGGGGGAUAACAGUUGGAAACGGCUGCUAAUACCGCAUAAGCGCACAGUACCGCAUGGUACGGUGUGAAAAACUUCGGUGGUAUGAGAUGGACCCGCGUCUGAUUAGGUAGUUGGUGGGGUAACGGCCUACCAAGCCGACGAUCAGUAGCCGACCUGAGAGGGUGACCGGCCACAUUGGGACUGAGACACGGCCCAA